GACGCACACACACAAACACACACCUCCAUCAGACACACACACACAAACACACACCUCCAUCAGACGCACACACACAAACACACACCUCCAUCAGACACACACACACAAACACACACCUCCAUCAGACACACACACACACACAAACCUCCAUCAGACACACACACACAAACACACACCUCCAUCAGACACACACACACACAAACCUCCAUCAGACACACACACACAAACACACACCUCCAUCAGACACACACACACACACACAAACACACACCUCCAUCAGACGCACACACACAAACACACACCUCCAUCAGACACACACACACAAACACACACCUCCAUCAGACACACACACACACACAAACCUCCAUCAGACACACACACACAAACACACACCUCCAUCAGACACACACACACACGUCUCCAUCAGACACACACACACAAACACACACCUCCAUCAGACACACACACACACACACACACAAUGGACUGAGGGUCUUGGGCCCAUGCAACCAUGAACUAUGUGUGAUGAGUUCUCAUCUCACAUCUCUAUAUUCUGGGCCUCUGGUGGUCUCUAUUGGUCACUGUAUGUAAUUACAUUUCUAUUCAACCUCAGGUACGAGGCUGGAAUUGAUUCAUUCAAUAUAUUUGAAAGAAAACUGAUAUUAUUUCAAUUAAAGUCUGCAUUGAACCAUCCUAUUGCAGCUGCUGCUACUGUAUAUUAUAAACAUUUCUGGUUUUUGUUGAUCUGUUUAUGCUUGACUAACCGACAGUCAGGGGCCAAGACUCUAAAGCAAAACCUUUCUCCCCUCUAAGCCAAAGUGGAAUUAUUUUCUUACUGGUGGUGAUGGCAGAAUUCCCAGUACAGAAUUCGGGCCUCUGAGCUCCGAUACCGCUCCUGAAUCCCAUACCCGGCAAGGCAUCAUCGCUUUCCUGGUGGUCACAGUGGAGGACACCCCUUCUAGGUCAAGUCAAGUCAAGUCAGACACACACACACACACACACACACACACACACACACACACACACACACACACACACACACACACACACACACACACACACACACACACACACACACACACACACACACACACACACACACACACACAGCCUCAUAGGUUCAUACACACACACAGCCUCAUAGGUUCAUACACACACACAGCCUCAUAGGUUCACACAGUGUAAGUAAGCUACUCCCCGAGCCCAGAUAGGAUUUAGUUAUUAAAAAUGAGUAGUACUACUGUUGAGUAAAAGUUAGACAGUGUUAAUGUGACUACUGACUAAGGCUUCUCAUACUGAACUUGAAGGAUCCCUCACACAGAGGACAAAACAGAAAAGAUGUCCGAUAAAACUGCAGUUCCUCACAAUAAAAUGACAGCUCUUAAGAUUGUUAAAAUAGAAUGAAGACCAGCUCUAUAUAUGACAUUAAAACAAAAUGUUUUGAGCUGAUUGGAACUCUGGAUCCAAUUCAUUAAGACAGGCCUUUGAAGGCGUUAGAAAAGUCCCCUUUAUCAAUAUGUUCUCUGGGCUGGCUCAGUCCAGUCCAACCUGCAUUGAGUAAUAUGUGGAUUCAAGCUUCAGGUAGAUAGCUGUGAGGAAAGGCUCUCUUUUCUUUCUCUGACUCCCCAGUAAACAUGAACCCAUUGGCCCCAUGUGGGUAUUCGGUGGGCAAGGUGGGCUAGCCCACACCAACCCCACACCAACCCAACACAGGCUAGCCCACACCAACCCCACACCAACCCAACACAGGCUAGCCCACACCAACCCCACACCAACCCAACACAGGCUAGCCCACACCAACCCCACACCAACCCAACACAGGCUAGCCCACACCAACCCCACACAGGCUAGCCCACACCAACCCCACACCAAUCCAACACAGGCUAGCCCACACCACACCAACCCCACACCAACCCAACACAGGCUAGCCCACACCAACCCCACACAGGCUAGCACACACCAACCCCAAACCAAUCCAACACAGGCUAGCCCACACCAACCCCACACCAACCCAACACAGGCUAGCCCACACCAACCCCACACCAACCCCACACCAACCCCACACAGGCUAGCACACACCAACCCCAAACCAAUCCAACACAGGCUAGCCCACACCAACCCCACACCAACCCAACACAGGCUAGCCCACACCAACCCCACACAGGCUAGCCCACACCAACCCCAAACCAAUCCAACACAGGCUAGCCCACACCAACCCAACACAGGCUAGCCCACACCAACCCAACACAGGCUAGCCCACACCAACCCAACACAGGCUAGCCCACACCAACACAACACUGGCCAGGCCACACCAACACAGGCUUGCCCACACCAACCCAACACAGGCUUGCCCACACCAUCCCAACACAGGGUAGCCCACACCAACACAACACGGCAAGGUCACACCAACCCAACACAGGGUAGCCCACACCAACCCAACACAGGGUAGCCCACACCAACACAACACGGGCAAGGUCACACCAACACAACACGGGCAAGGUCACACCAACACAACACGGGCAAGGUCACACCAACACAACACGGGCAAGGUCACACCAAGCCCAGCUAGAGGCGGGGGCUCAUUAGAAUAUUUGGGGGCGUGGUUUACACACAGUUGUUUUUGUGCAGCCGUUACUGAGAGUGUGGUUCCUGUUGAAGUGUGGUUCCUGUUGAAGUGUGGUUCCUGUUGAAGUGUGGUUCCUGUUGAAGUGUUCUGUGUUGUGCUGCCUAUAUCCUGAUGAUCUUGUAAACGGCUAAUGAUCAAGUCUUUAGAAACACUUAUAUAAAUGUUUCUCUUGUUAAAUAUAUUCUGUAUGUAUGAUGGUAAUAACUUGGUUGUCUUUCUGAAAAAAUUGUAUCACGUUCCAUAAAUACCUGUAAGAGUAGAAAAUUAUGCAAUUUAUGCAUUGAAUUAAGUUUAAAUAAAUAAAUAUUAAAUAGCGAAGGCGCAUCAGCCCAAUGUGGGCAGCUUACAAGGGGUCAAUAUUUUAGCCUGCAUUGGGUUCAAAUCGUGACAAUUUGGACAUGUUUGCUGGGAAAAGAAGGGUGUAUUUCAGACAAAGUGACAGCUGCCUCACCAGAUCUGGGCUGCCCACACUGAGCCACACUGGGCAAAUGCCUUGGGGGCCAAUGUGGAGCCGAUGAGCAAAGGCGCAUCGGCCCAAUGUGGGCAGCCUAGAUGGGGCCAAUAUUUUAGCCCGAAUUGGGCCCACAUCGAGACAAUGUGGACAUGUUUGCUGGGGCUAAAACCUACAAUCUCUAGUUCCUUGUAAUUUUAUCGCUCUCUCCACGGUGCCGUGAGAAAACAAUAUAGUCCAAAUCUCCCAAUCUCCUUAAUGUUGUUCUAAUCUAAUGGAUCAUACACACACCUAAUGUCUCACAUUGGGCAUAUUAAGCAGAUUGCCUGCGUUAAACUACUGCUGUCAGAGCAGCAUGACAGACAUUACCAGCACUUAAGGCACAUUGUUUGUGUGUGUGAAUGUGUGUGUGUGUGUGUGUGUGUGUGUGUGUGUGUGUGUGUGUGUGUGUGUGUGUGUGUGUGUGUGUGUGUGUGUGUGUGUGUGUGUGUGUGUGUGUAUGUAUGUAUGUAUGUAUGUAUGUGUUUGUCUGCAUGUAUGUGUGUGUGUUUGUAGGUGUGUAUGUGUGUUCGAACAUCCCAAAUCUAAUUUUGCCCAUUCAUACGAGUCUGUAAUCAUGCCCGAACGUUUGGUCCAUUUAAAAUGUAAAAAAUGGCUGAAUAAAGUAAUCAUAUCAUGCUGCUGCUCUACAACUGUGCUGUCACCUCUACCGUGAUCAUUAGAGACAGGACCUGAGAGACAAUGACAACAUCAAUGCUUGGCUAACAACUAUUACUGUAAUAAAUAUGUGUAUGGAUCUGAAAGGCCUUGGUAGAACAAUGGAUGUCUUUAAUACCAUACAAACCCCAUAAACACAAUAUCUGCUUUACAUGCCACUGUUCUUAAGGCCGACACACACACACACACACACACACACACACACACACACACACACACACACACACACACACACACACACACACACACACACACACACACACACACACACACGUCACUUGUGGAUGAUGUGUGCAUUGUUAUUGUAUUGCUACAUAUUGCUGCGUUGUUGGAGAUAGAAACAUAACCAUUUCGCUGCACCUGCGAUAACAUCUGCUAAACUGUGUACGCCACCAAUAAACUUUGAUUUGAUCUGAAACACACACUCAAUCUCUCGCUCUCUCGCACACACACACACUCAUACACCCACCAACCCUCCACAAUGCCUCAUUAAAGAAGCCUCUUCAUGGGUUCAGUACCAGUUCCCUCAGGCUCCUAUCCUGACAGGUGUCUCCCACAGUAGUCCUGUAGGCCCUGUCUAACCCUGUACCAGCGGAGAUGCACAAAGUCCUCAUUGUGUGUCCCCACAAGCCCCCCCUAUCAUUCCUAACACCCCCCCCGUAAAAGCAUCCCGGGCAUCCUUCUUUAACCGGGGGAGAUUAUGCAAAUUAGCUCUCAUACCACCACAGUGACAGAAGCCCACUUAUAAGAGAUUCAUUCAGAGGAGUCUAUAGAUCACAGUUCAUAUAGUCUGUCUAUAGAUCACAGUUAAUAUAGUCUGUCUAUAGAUCACAGUUAAUAUAGUCUGUCUAUAGAUCACAGUUCAUAUAGUCUGUCUAUAGAUCACAGUUCAUAUAGUCUGUCUAUAGAUCACAGUUAAUAUAGUCUGUCUAUAGAUCACAGUUAUUAUAGUCUGUCUAUAGAUCACAGAUCAUAUAGUCUGUCUAUAGAUCACAGUUAAUAUAGUCUGUAGACCACAGUUAAUAUAGUCUGUCUAUAGAUCACAGUUAAUAUAGUCUGUCUGUAGACCACAGUUAAUAUAGUCUGUCUAUAGACCACAGUUAAUAUAGUCUGUCUAUAGACCACAGUUAAUAUAGUCUGUCUAUAGACCACAGUUAAUAUAGUCUGUCUAUAGUAGGGAUUGGGAUGUAUGAUACUGUUGUAUAGACCACAGUUAAUAUGAUGGGUGGGAAGAAGCGAGAGAAGAGAGUGAUGAUAGAAUAAGGAGGCUCUGGGAUAGGUUGGGGGUCAGAUAGGGACAGAGGUUAUAACAGAGUUAAACUUUUCCCUUCAUGAUAAACAGCAGAAAACAGAUUUAAGAGAGAAAUGCAUGCCAGUAAAGACCAUCUGCUUUAUUUACCACGUCCUUUUCUCCCAAUCUCUUUUCCCUCUCCUACACUCCCAAAUUCCCCCUUACCCAUCUCUCAAAUCUCUCUUAUCUACACUGUACAUAUUUGUCAAAUCCUAAAUAACAAAAUCUAUUCACAUUGUAUGAGGGCUGACACAGGACAAAUAUGUUUUUUCGAUAUGAGAAAGAUAACAUAAACUGAAGUCCAACGGUGAACUAUUUUAGUGUAAAGGCACCUCUAUCUGCAGAGCAAAACAACCUUCUUUUGUCUUCAGUUGGGUUUGAGAGCUUCUUUUUUUGUUCCCCGAAAAUCUCAUGGAACACGUGCCAACAUUUUUAAGAGCUACGAAAUAACUGGGCUAUUUUUUUUUUUUCACGUCUUCUUCCACCACCUCGCAGGUGUUUCGUUUUAAGGCGUGCUGCACAAUGCCAAGCUCUGCUCGCCUUGGCUCGUCUUGAAUGCAGAGGGCCCACGGGGGAAAACUUGGGUUGCAGGAGAGAAAUCGUAUUGAUUAGCAAUGAACUACGCUUCCCUUUCUCUUUUCUUUAUGUCUCUCUCUCACACACUCUCUCUGCUCCACUUUUAAAGUGUCGAUGGGGGGAAGAGAAAAAAAAAACCUUUGUAUGCCAAGCCAAAAAAAAUUGGGGAAGAGAAAACUAAACCUUAAACUGAAAACGUACACCUUCUGGUCUUUAGAGAAAGUGAGUGUGCUUGAAGUGGUACAGAACAAAGGCGUUGCUUUAAGUGAGACUUGGCGUUUGAAAUGAAUAAGUGUGACAGGGUGUGUGUUUGCUUCCUUACUUGUGCGCGUGUGUAUGUGCAUAUGUGUGUGUACAACAGCAGUAUACGUGGCAGCAGAAUCUCUGUACCUUUGUCCGGACCAGCUUGCUUUAGGCCAAAGCGUCAGUCUAACAUGAACAACUCUCUUAUGUCACCCCUUCAUGCCUUUAGGCCAAACACUGGCUCUAUAGGCUUACCUAUUAAACAAUGUUAUGAGAUACAUUUCCAUAAUGAUUUUUCUGCUUCAAAAAUAGCCGCCGGUAUGAGCAAAUAUUCAACAUGCUAUCUCGUUCUGAAACUUGACAUGUUUUGUGAGAAACUGUUUAGUAUUCUGGAUAAGUCAGUGCUUUAGAUACAUUGGAACACACACUUGUGUGAAAAAGAACACGGACAAAUACACAUACACACGCUGCUGCUACUACCACUAUCUUAAACCAUACAAUCACAGCCAGAAGUUUGUUCAUCUAUGUCAAAACACAACACAGUGCAGUGUUUUAUACUGCCGCCAUGUGGUUUCCUUAAGAAACUACCGGGGAGUCAUUUUUAAUCGACCGAGGCUGCGGAUCCGUAGGUCACCACCUCGUUGUACCCCCCUGGAAAGAUUCAUAUCAUGUUCUGCGCAUGUGUUUUCUUUACCUCUACUUUACGCACACUUCAAAUGAUUCAUCUAUUAUUAUUAUUACAUUUUUCAUUGUCAAUCGUGAAUGAUAAUUCUUCAACUUUUCCCGGUGAAACGCUCAUACAGCAUUUUCAUGCCAACCAUAGGAACUCAAUCAGUUUCAUGGGAAUAUGCAUUUAGAUAUUUUUAGUUAUGUACAGUGAGCUGAAUUUAGAACAGAUGGUGUUAAACUGUAACACAGCCUAACUGGGUUUUGUUCAACUCAAACCCCAUAUUUUGCCUAGUGGUGCGCGCUGUUGAGUUGUGGCUAGAUGAGAGGAAAAUGCAUUUGUUUGUUCUGUCCCACAAUCAUCCUAAAAUCUCAUAAGACAUUAGGUGCUGUUUUUUAUUUUACAGCGACAAACUAUGCUAUUAUUCGGUUAUAUUAUGUACAAUACUAUCGUUAUGUGAUCCUGCAGAUAUUGAUUCAGCUUUGAUCUAACUUUAUUAAACGAGUACCAUUCGCCAGAGUAGCCUGUUCUCUACUAUUGGAAGAUAGAGACUUUGCAAAUAGAGAAUCCCGAAUGUGCAGAAUCUUCGGGACCUUUAACGGUUGGUAAUAUUCAUAGAAUACUGGUAGUCACUGAGAAUGAGUCACUGAGGAUAUGUCCAAAUAGCACACUAUUCCCUAUGGGCUCUGGUCAAAAGUAGUGCACUACAUAGGGAUCCAUUUGGGAUGCACAUAAAAGGGCGUGGGUUCUGGUUGAGGAGAGAUCUCAUCUAACCACAGUACAGAGGAUUGAAGUAUGAUGCAUUGAGCAUGAUAGGGUCAUAAACAAACACACACACACUCAUUAACAAACACACACAUGUGUCUAGACUAUAUAUGUCAAAAAAAAUAGUAAAAUAUAUAUUUUCUAAGAGAGAGGAGGGAGAGGGAGGAGGGAGAGAAGAUGGACAGGUGGUCAGCCAGUCAGGAUCAGUCAUACACCUGCUAGAUGUAGAUGAAAGGAUGAGAAGAGGGGGGAGAUGUAUGAGAUGGAGAGGGGGGAGAUGUAUGAGAUGGAGAGGGGGAUGAAAAGAAGGAGUAGGGAAAGAGGGACCAUCUGGUUUUUUUUUCAGAGGGACGAAAAAAAAGGGAGAUAGAGCUGGAGAGAGAAGUGGUGAGUGCCAGAAUAUGGCAGAGGAGAAGAGAGGAGAGAUGCAGGAGAUGAGAGGUAUGGAGAGGAGAUUGAUUUGAUUUGAUUAUGAUGCACAAUAGCUGACGCCAUGAUGACAGCUAGUCUUCCUGGAGGGUUCGACACAUAACGAAAAACACAUUACAGACAAAAAGAGGAGGAGCAACACCGGAGGAAAGGAGAGACACCGGAGGAAAGGGGAGACACCGGAGGAAAGGGGAGACACUGGAGGAAAGGAGAGACACCGGAGGAAAGGGGAGACACUGGAGGAAAGGAGAGACACCGGAGGAAAGGAGAGACACCGGAGGAAAGGGGAGACACUGGAGGAAAGGAGAGACACUGGAGGAAAGGGGAGACACCGGAGGAAAGGAGAGACAUUGGAGGAAAGGGGAGACACUGGAGGAAAGGAGAGACACCGGAGGAAAGGGGAGACACUGGAGGAAAGGGGAGACACCGGAGGAAAGGAGAGACAUUGGAGGAAAGGGGAGACACCGGAGGAGAGGAGAGACACAGGAGGAGAGACACCGGAGGAGAAAGGAGACACAGGAGGAGAGACACCAGAGGAGAGGAGAUACACAGGAGGAGAGGAUACACACAGGAGGAGACACACCGGAAGAGAGGAGAGACACCGGAGGAGAGGAGACACAGGAGGAGAGGAGACACAGGAGGAGAGGAGAGGAGAGACACAGGAGGAGAGGAGAGGCAGAAGGAGAUGGUGACAGGAUCCUGGAGGCGAUUCGUCUGGCCUGGCGAAAUCAGUGCUCCACCAGGAUUAUAACUCCCUCUUUCCCUUCCUUCCUCCCUCUCUCUCUGCCUCUCUCUUUCCGUUCCUCCCUCCCUCUCUCACUCUCUAAGCCUCUCUCUCUCUCUCUGCCUCUCUCUCACUGCCUCUCUCACUUUCCCCUCCUCCCUCUCUCUCUCUCACUCUCUCUGCCUCUCUCUUUCUCUCUCCCUCACUCAAACCCUGCCGGGUUCCAGAUCACCAAACUACUCCACUCAACCACUCCAUUCGAUUUCAAUCAAUGACGCAUUUUACAAUGUCGUAAAAGUGUGUGUGUGUGUGCCAUCACAUAAAAGCCCACUUCAAACGAGCUAAAACUGUGUGGAGUGCGUGAGAGUGUCUGGAGUCAGAUUACUACACCUACCGUAUCCACCAUGUUUGGCGGGUCCUCACAACCCUUCCCACUGUUGGCUUCUGGGCUUGGGACAUGUCUGAACCAUGGAUAGAGGAAGACAUUGGAAUGGAUUGGCUGAGAAAUGCAGGAAAAUGGAGCUGCGGGUAGACGGAUGUCCCAAAAGGCACCUUAUUCCCUACUUUUGAGGUGCACUUUAAAGGGAAUAGGGUGCCAUUUGGAACACAGACCUAAACUCAUCAAAGGUUUUCUCACAGACGUCAUGAUGGAUUUUCUGGAGGUCUGGACGAGUGAAAGUGCCCCGAUGCCAACUAACAAAUAGACAAAUCCAACUCUCACACACACAAAUACUGACACACAUACAUACAGAAAGACACACUCGCAUGUACAGAUACACACACGCGCUCACACACACGCGCUCACACACACGCGCUCACACACACACACACCUGUCAGCUAGAAUCAGGCUUGGUUAGAUGAAACCAAAAGGGUUUCAUAUGCUUCUAUAAUUUCGAUCACCUUAGUCAGCCAGAUCAACGUCUCCGUCUUGGCCUUGUUCAGUCGUUCCCACUCUGUCCUUCACUUUGUUCUGUGAGAGAUUUGGAGGAAUGAAUCUGGAUGGUGAAACCUUUUGAUGCAUCAUGAGAAAUAGAGUAGGAUAAAUGUUGGAAUGGAACUAGAGUGGUGCUGUAUGUUCCGACUGGAAUGUUGUGGUUCUACACGUUUCUAUGCUUGAUUGGAUACUUGCUAGUGUUACGGAAAAUAAGGUGAAAUUGACAUGUGGCUGAACUAGUCCUUCAUGAUGUAUGUUGGUAUGUGUCACGCAUAUUCUAAAUGAAGGAAUACAGUCUCACUGUUUCUUAUCUGAGCGCCACAGACGGAUGCAGGGGAUCAGUUGAAGUGACUUUUUCUGUAGUCUCUUCUCCCCACCUGAUGCGUCUGACACACAAUCCAUUAACACUUGAGUUUGGCAAAGUGAGACUACUUUCUCUCUGCACUUACUUACAACAGUUAACUCCACACUCUGAGCAGAAGGAGAUCGCCCCUGGAUCCCCUGAGUCUGCCACUCACUGACCCAGCUGGAGGCUUUCACAGUAUCCCCGACUCACCCACACUACACACGCAUCCAAAACGACAGGACUCUUUUAUCCCUGCCCCCUUUGCUCCUGUGCCAACAAGCGCUCGCCUCCUCUGUCCUAAAAACAUGUGUGACAUGUCACAACCCAGAACCACUACCCAGCUCCCUCGGCAAAAAAAAAAACGGAAAAGAAAACCAGAACAAAACAACGAUCUUAUCCCGCCUCGUUAGAACCUGGCAAUCAUCCCUCUCUCCUUUUCUCUCCCUCUCUCCUUCCUGUCGUCGUUAGACAAUAAGUUGAGUGGAGAUUCUCUUAAGUGCUUCUGAAGUAGACCGUUUAGGAGCUUUUAGACGUCAUGUUCUUUUUAAGCGAUGGUUGUGGUAACUGGCAGGGGAGGGUGGAGAGAGCUGUGCCUGUUUUUCUGCCCAUGAGGAGAAAUGGUGAGUGGUGAGUGUAUUUGCAUGUGUGUCUGUGUGUAUCUAAUGUGUGUGUGCGUGUGCGUGUGUGACAGGAACCCGAUGGAUGGAUGAUGGCAUG
rnacentral:lncRNA from 1 species